UACAGAGGGGGCAAGCGUUGUUCGGAAUUACUGGGCGUAAAGGGCUUGUAGGCGGCCAACUAAGUCAUACGUGAAAUCCCUCGGCUUAACCGGGGAACUGCGUCUGAUACUGGAUGGCUUGAGAUUGGGAGAGGGAUGCGGAAUUCCAGGUGUAGCGGUGAAAUGCGUAGAUAUCUGGAGGAACACCGGUGGCGAAGGCGGCAUCCUGGACCAACACUGACGCUGAGGAGCGAAAGCCAGGGGAGCAAACGGG
rnacentral:rRNA from 1 species